GACCUGAGCUCAGGCC
rnacentral:rRNA from 1 species